CUAGGGGCUAGGGCUGUUAAUCUGGGCUAUUUUACCCAGCCCAAUUCCAGACCAUCAGAAACUUGUCCACCAAAAACUCAGCCCACACAAAAACCCAUUGGCAAACUUGGCUAUUCUCGACCAAAUUUAGGAAUAAAUAAUUUUAAAUGCAAAAGGGCAUUCGGUCAAACCCGAAAAAACUGAACCGAGGAAACCGAAUGUCUCGGUUCUCGGCACCGAGGAUUAGAGAAGAGCAAAACCGAUCAGCGAAAUUAUUUUGAAAAUUCGGUUUCCGUUUCGGUUCGGCAAGCUAAAACCGAUCGGUUAUUCGGUUUUUUCCUUCUUCACUCUUUUUUCACCGUUCUGCUUCUCCUUCACCGGUCUGUUACUCUGUUCUGUUCUUCAUCAUGCCGCCGCGUGAAACAAACGAUGAAGACGAUAAACAAAAACCCUAAUAUUUAAUAUGGCUGGGCUUUCAACUUAAAAUUAUAAACAAACAACAAUCAAAAGCCCAGCCCAUAUUAUUAUAACUAUUUUUAAAAAACCCAUCAAAACAAACUUACAUUUAAAAUUAAUAAAAUAGUCCAAUAACUUAUUAAAUACAUAAACCGAGUCCAAUUUUUAUCGAAGAAAACCUAAAUCUAAUAAGCCUUGUCUUCUUGCAGCCGCUUCUAGAUCUAAGCCUCUCUCUCCUCCACUUGUAGUCGAUUACUCUUCUUUCUCUCCUAGAACAAGACACUGCUUUGCAUCAAUGAGGAUUUGAAUUUCUAAUCAUCCUUCUUGGAACGUCGAGAACCAGAUCCUUCAACGUCGAGAACCUCCUCAAGUCUUUAAAGAUUGAAGGAGCCUUGCCAUUUCAAACCAUGUCGUCUUCACCGUCGGCAGCCUUGCAUUUGAUCGAAAAACUUAAUUUUUAAUGUAUUUGGGUUUGUUGUAAAUGUGACAUUGGACUUAUAAUUUUCCUGAGCUUGUUAUUUUAGUUGUAAAUAUGUUAA